UCUCUUGUGGCUCAGCUGGUAAAGAAUCCACCUGGAAUGUGGAAGACCUGGGUUCGAUUCCUGGGUUGGGAA
rnacentral:tRNA from 1 species